CUGAACCAGCCAAGUAGCGUGAAGGAUGAAGGGUCCUACGGAUUGUAAACUUCUUUUAUACGGGAAUAAAGUAUCCUACGUGUAGGAUUUUGUAUGUACCGUAUGAAUAAGCAUCGGCUAACUCCGUGCCAGCAGCCGCGGUAAUACGGAGGAUGCGAGCGUUAUCCGGAUUUAUUGGGCUUAAAGGGAGCGCAGACGGGAGAUUAAGUCAGUUGUGAAAGUUUGCGG
rnacentral:rRNA from 1 species